rnacentral:rRNA from 1 species
UACGGAGGGUGCAAGCGUUAUCCGGAUUCACUGGGUUUAAAGGGUGCGUAGGCGGACAGGUAAGUCAGUGGUGAAAUCUCUGGGCUUAACCCAGAAACUGCCGUUGAUACUAUUUGUCUUGAAUAUCCUGGAGGUAGGCGGAAUACGUCAUGUAGCGGUGAAAUGCUUAGAUAUGACAUAGAACACCGAUAGCGAAGGCAGCUUACUACAGGAUGAUUGACGCUGAGGCACGAAAGCGUGGGGAGCAAACAGG